ensembl:lncRNA
GUUCUCAUUACUGGCAGCUGCCUGCACUGGUAUUGGGAAUAAAUAUUUAUUGUUUGUUUACACUUAGAAUUCGAUUCUCUUGAUUCUUUUGGUCUAAACCAAAAAUAAAACGAUAGGCCUACAUUUAGUCCUGGUUCACCUGUUAUUUUUUACAAGUUUAUAAAACAGACAAAUGAAGAUCUGCUGCAAGGAAACGGCGGUUCGACAUCUGUACUGAACUGUAUUGGGCAACAUACCUCCUAUAACAGGAAGAACCAGCCUUUGCAAGCAGAUGUCCAAGACUGCUGUAUGAGUUCGUAUUUUUGGGCCAAACAGAGACAAAUUGCAGCUUGGCAAGGCAUCGUGCAUCUGUGAUUUUGGAACAGGUGUUAACAGACCUGAAGAUGCAUUUUUAUUCGACAUCAAUGGGAAAAACACAACCUGUGCAGGUUUUCUGCUGCAGACUAAUGUAAAUUAAUGACCAUGUGGUGUGAAAAACAUCCUCACUCCAUUUUUCACAAUGCAUAUGCUACAAAACAAAGACUUAAAGGCAUUGAUUUUAAAAGUUCCUGCAUCUGUAUCC